CACGUAGUUAGCCGGUGCUUAUUCUGCAGGUACCGUCAUUCAGCCCAGGUAUUAGCCAGGCCUAUUUCUUUCCUGCCAAAAGUGCUUUACAACCCGAAGGCCUUCAUCGCACACGCGGGAUGGCUGGAUCAGGGUUUCCCCCAUUGUCCAAAAUUCCCCACUGCUGCCUCCCGUAGGAGUCUGGGCCGUGUCUCAGUCCCAGUGUGGCUGGUCGUCCUCUCAAACCAGCUACGGAUCGUCGCCUUGGUAGGCCUUUACCCCACCAACUAGCUAAUCCGACAUCGGCCGCUCCAAUAGCGAGAGGUCCCGAAGGACUCCCCCCGUUUCCCCUAAGGGCGUAUGCGGUAUUAGCCACGCUUUCGCGUGGUUAUCCCCCACUACUGGGUACGUUCCGAUGCAUUACUCACCCGUUCGCCACUCGCCGCCAGGCCGAAGCCCGCGCUGCCGUUCGACUUGCAUGUGUAAGGCAUCCCGCUAGCGUUCAAUCUGAGCCAGGAUCAAACUC
rnacentral:rRNA from 1 species